CCCAGACUCCUACGGGAGGCAGCAGUGGGGAAUAUUGCACAAUGGGGGAAACCCUGAUGCAGCGACGCCGCGUGAGCGAAGAAGUAUUUCGGUAUGUAAAGCUCUAUCAGCAGGGAAGAAAAAUGACGGUACCUGAGUAAGAAGCACCGGCUAAAUACGUGCCAGCAGCCGCGGUAAUACGUAUGGUGCAAGCGUUAUCCGGAUUUACUGGGUGUAAAGGGAGCGCAGGCGGUGCGGCAAGUCUGAUGUGAAAGCCCGGGGCUCAACCCCGGGACUGCAUUGGAAACUACCGAACUAGAGUGUCGGAGAGGUAAGUGGAAUUCCUAGUGUAGCGGUGAAAUGCGUAGAUAUUAGGAGGAACACCAGUGGCGAAGGCGGCUUACUGGACGAUAACUGACGCUGAGGCUCGAAAGCGUGGGGAGCAAACAGGAUUAGAUACCCGAGUA
rnacentral:rRNA from 1 species